CACGCCCUAAACGAUGUCAACUGGGUGUUGGGGAAGCGAUUCCUUGGUACCGUAGCUAACGCGUGAAGUUGACCGCCUGGGGAGUACGGCCGCAAGGUUAAAACUCAAAGGAAUUGACGGGGACCCGCACAAGCGGUGGAUGAUGUGGAUUAAUUCGAUGCAACGCGAACAACCUUACCUACCCUUGACAUGUCCGGAACCCUGCUGAGAGGUGGGGGUGCCCGAAAGGGAAUCGGAACACAGGUGC
rnacentral:rRNA from 1 species